rnacentral:rRNA from 1 species
GACGAACGCUGGCGGCGUGCUUAACACAUGCAAGUCGAACGGAAAGGCCUGCUUUCCCUUGUGGAUUGCGGGUACUCGCGUGGCGAACGGGUGAGUAACACGUGAGUUAUCUGCCCCCAACUUGGGUAUAAGCCUGGGAAACUGGGUCUAAUUCCCGAUAGGACUGCAGGGUGGUGCCUGUGGUGGAAAACGAUUUUCUAGUGGUUGGGGAUGAGCUCGCGGCCUAUCAGCUUGUUGGUGGGGUAAUGGCCUACCAAGGCGGCGACGGGUAGCCGGCCUGAGAGGGUGGACGGCCACAUUGGGACUGAGUCACGGCCCAGACUCCGACGGGAGGCAGCAGUGGGGAAUAGUGCACAAUGGGCGGAAGCCUGAUGCAGCGACGCCGCGUGGGGGAUGACGGCCUUCGGGUUGUAAACUCCUUUCGACCGAGAGGAAGCCACCUGGUUGGAAGGGUGGUGACGGUAGUGGUAGAAGAAGCACCGGCUAACUACGUG